GGCUGCAUGGCGCAGUGGUAGAGCGCUAGCCUCCCAAAAAUCGGCCGUGGGUUCGAACCCACCCGGAGCAA